rnacentral:misc_RNA from 1 species
AACACUGUUAACCUGCGGUACCUGCGGAGGGAUCAUUACCGAGUUUACAACUCCCAAACCCCUGUGAACAUACCAAUUGUUGCCUCGGCGGAUCAGCCCGCUCCCGGUAAAACGGGACGGCCCGCCAGAGGACCCCUAAACUCUGCUUCUAUAUGUAACUUCUGAGUAAAACCAUAAAUAAAUCAAAACUUUCAACAACGGAUCU